rnacentral:tRNA from 1 species
UCCUGGGUGGCUCAGACAGUAAAGAAUCUGCCUGCAAUGCAGGAGACCUGGGUUCGAUCCCUGGUCAGGAA